rnacentral:rRNA from 1 species
AACGCUGGCGGCAUGCUUCAGACAUGCAGUCGAACGAGAUCUUCGGAUCUAGUGGCGCACGGGUGAGUAACGCGUGGGAACCUACCUUUCAGUAUGGGAUAACAGUUGGAAACGACUGCUAAUACCGUAUACGCCCUCCGGGGGAAAGGUCAGCCGCUGAAAGAGGGGCCCGCGUCUGAUUAGCUUGUUGGUAGGGUAAUGGCCUACCAAGGCUACGAUCAGUAGCUGGUCUGAGAGGAUGAUCAGCCACACUGGGACUGAGACACGGCCCAGACUCCUACGGGAGGCAGCAGUCGGGAAUAUUGGACAAUGGAGGCAACUCUGAUCCAGCAAUGCCGCGUGUGUGAUGAAGGCCCUAGGGUUGUAAAGCACUUUCAACGGUGAAGAUGAUGACGGUAGCCGUAGAAGAAGCCCCGGC